AAGCACCUCGGAUUCCCGCUCAUACAGCCGGCCGGAUCAUGUGGCAGUCAGGUGGCGACCACUAUCUAGCCCAACGUUGCUGGAGUUGUUGCAGCUCUGCCGGGCCCACAUAUCAGCGUUCGUGCAUGACGGUGAGUUGCCACCCAUGGCAUCUCUGGACCAGUUGCAGGCCAGAUUUGGGAACAGCCCGCCUGGCUCCCUGUCCUCCCUGAGGCUGAUGCAGGCAGACAGGUAACCGUCCACAUCCUGAAGCCCACCCGCCCAACCAUUCCCAGCCACCCCAGACUUACCCUCGGCCUGCCCCCACCCCAGGAUGCUGAGGCUAGCACAGAUCAGGAGAGCCUCCCAAGUCCCGGCCUUGGGGUUUGGUCAGGUAAGCAGGAGUGGCUGUAGGAGUGGGAACCACCCCUGUCUUCUUCGUGCCUCAUGAUCCUGCCUGUCCCUAGCUGAGUAGCCUGUGGCCACCGGGGCUGGUAACGGGCAUCCCCCUUGUGGACCCCAAGGAGCUGCUGGCAGCCCAGGGAGAGCCUGACUGCACCUAUGAGAGCAGCU
rnacentral:lncRNA from 1 species